UCCCGUCUGCUUCUGCCCUCGUCUCUGCCAUCUGCUACUGCUGCACCCGCCACAACCUACUGCUCUUACUCCUGCCGCCGCGGGCGGCGGCGGCUGAUUCUGCUCAAGUCCUCUUCUGCUGCCGCUGCUGUCAUUUGCUAUUGUUACUCCCACCACCGUUUCCUGCUGCUUCGGUCGGGGAAGGCUGCAGGCGCGGGCGCGAUGGCGGCGCUGCAAACGUAGAAGCGGGGCGGUGACAUUGCAGACACAGGCG
rnacentral:lncRNA from 1 species